rnacentral:lncRNA from 1 species
CAGCACUUCAGAAGGGCUCCACUACUCCCCUAUGGCUUGACUCCCAGGAAAAUAUGUACUAGAUGAAGUAAAUAAAGCCAAGAAAAAGAUUAGUGCACUCUAGUAAUUCUCAUGGCAGAUGCACUUUAAGAUGAUUGAAAACAAUCAGGAGGAAAGAUUUUAGAACUCUAAGCAAUGCUACUAGUUGGCCUCCCAAUGCUAUGUAAUUUUCCUCUUAUUAUGCUGAUUAAAGAAGAUUACCUUUAAUAAUAUAAAAUUUUUUCUUUUUCUUUUUUUGGUUCAACUGAUUUGUAUUUUAAGUUUGUCUACAGCAAUACAAGAAAGAAAAUAUCUGUACCUGUACUCAUAAAGAAGGCUUUACAGAAACUACCCCAGAAACAUGUGUAAGGUUCCCAGAAUGAAUCUUCUUGAAGGAGACAGUCAUGCAGAUGUGCAAUAAAUGUCUUCGUUAAGUUUGAAAGGCUAUUCCAAGAAUAAACGAGGCAGCGUCUAGUGCUGGAGAAGCAGUGAAUAUAGAACAAGACAGGAGAAAGUGCAUUUUCCAAGCCUUUUUCACAAAAGUUUUCCUUCAGUCUCCUCAGCUGGUGUCAGGCACAGAAGGCUGAAGAUUAGCUAUUGAACCUCUUCUCCACCAUUUUCUCCUUCCCUGGGUAUGAACUACACCAGAUAAAAAGGGGAUGAACCACUGCAGAUGAUGUGAGUAAGGAGGAGAGAAAGACUGAAGAAUUACAAGACAGAAACAGAAGGGCUCCAUUGAAACUACAGAGGUCCAAAGAAAGAACAGACAUUGUGGUACAAUUUGGAUAUAUUUCCAAGAAGAACUGUGUAAGUCUUGUAAUAGUUGUUGUUCAGUAAUUUUUCUGU